AGAGUUUGAUCCUGGCUCAGGAUGAACGCUAGCGGCAGGCUUAACACAUGCAAGUCGAGGGGUAGAAGCAGCUUGCUGCUUUGAGACCGGCGCACGGGUGCGUAACGCGUAUGCAAUCUACCUUUUACAGAGGGAUAGCCCAGAGAAAUUUGGAUUAAUACCUCAUAGUAUGUGAGAAUCGCAUGGUUUUCACAUUAAAGUUCCAACGGUAAAAGAUGAGCAUGCGUCCCAUUAGCUAGAUGGUAAGGUAACGGCUUACCAUGGCGACGAUGGGUAGGGGUCCUGAGAGGGAGAUCCCCCACACUGGUACUGAGACACGGACCAGACUCCUACGGGAGGCAGCAGUGAGGAAUAUUGGACAAUGGGCGCAAGCCUGAUCCAGCCAUGCCGCGUGCAGGAUGACGGUCCUAUGGAUUGUAAACUGCUUUUGUACAGGAAGAAACACUCCCUCGUGAGGGAGCUUGACGGUACUGUAAGAAUAAGGAUCGGCUAACUCCGUGCCAGCAGCCGCGGUAAUACGGAGGAUCCAAGCGUUAUCCGGAAUCAUUGGGUUUAAAGGGUCCGUAGGCGGUUUAAUAAGUCAGUGGUGAAAGCCCAUCGCUCAACGGUGGAACGGCCCAUUGAUACUGUUAAACUUGAAUUAUUAGGAAGUAACUAGAAUAUGUAGUGUAGCGGUGAAAUGCUUAGAGAUUACAUGGAAUACCAAUUGCGAAGGCAGGUUACUACUAAUGGAUUGACGCUGAUGGACGAAAGCGUGGGUAGCGAACAGGAUUAGAUACCCUGGUAGUCCACGCCGUAAACGAUGGAUACUAGCUGUUGGGAGCAAUCUCAGUGGCUAAGCGAAAGUGAUAAGUAUCCCACCUGGGGAGUACGUUCGCAAGAAUGAAACUCAAAGGAAUUGACGGGGGCCCGCACAAGCGGUGGAGCAUGUGGUUUAAUUCGAUGAUACGCGAGGAACCUUACCAAGGCUUAAAUGUAGUUUGACCGUUUUGGAAACAGAACUUUCGCAAGACAAAUUACAACAGAACUUUCGCAAGACAAAUUACAAGGUGCUGCAUGGUUGUCGUCAGCUCGUGCCGUGAGGUGUCAGGUUAAGUCCUAUAACGAGCGCAACCCCUGUUGUUAGUUGCCAGCGAGUCAAGUCGGGAACUCUAACAAGACUGCCAGUGUAAACUGUGAGGAAGGUGGGGAUGACGUCAAAUCAUCACGGCCCUUACGCCUUGGGCUACACACGUGCUACAAUGGCCGGUACAGAGAGCAGCCACUGGGCGACCAGGAGCGAAUCUACAAAACCGGUCACAGUUCGGAUCGGAGUCUGCAACUCGACUCCGUGAAGCUGGAAUCGCUAGUAAUCGGAUAUCAGCCAUGAUCCGGUGAAUACGUUCCCGGGCCUUGUACACACCGCCCGUCAAGCCAUGGAAGCUGGGGGUGCCUGAAGUCGGUGACCGCAAGGAGCUGCCUAGGGUAAAACUGGUAACUAGGGCUAAGUCGUAACAAGGUAACC
rnacentral:rRNA from 1 species